CCUACGGGAGGCAGCAGUGAGGAAUAUUGGUCAAUGGCCGGAAGGCUGAACCAGCCAAGCCGCGUGAAGGACGAAGGUGCCAAGCAUUGUAAACUUCUUUUGUCAAGGGACAAAAUCAGGCUCGAGAGCCUGACCGAGGGUACUUGAAGAAAAAGCAUCGGCUAACUCCGUGCCAGCAGCCGCGGUAAUACGGAGGAUGCGAGCGUUAUCCGGAUUUAUUGGGUUUAAAGGGUGCGUAGGCGGACUGUUAAGUCAGCGGUAAAAGCCCGGGGCUCAACCCCGGCGAGCCGUUGAAACUGGCUGUCUUGAGAUGUCGAGAGGUAUGCGGAAUGCGCAGUGUAGCGGUGAAAUGCUUAGAUAUUGCGCAGAACUCCGAUUGCGAAGGCGGCUGUCUGGUCUGCAACUGACGCUGAGGCUCGAAAGCAUGGGUAGCGAACAGGAUUAGAUACCCUAGUAGUC
rnacentral:rRNA from 1 species